GCCAGAGCUGCUGGAUCCCUCCUGGAAUAAAUCAGCUCCUGCUUUGCAUGGCCAGGUUUGCCCUCCUGGGUGAGGGCAAGGCCGGGAUCUGAUCUCGCCAUCGCAUCUGGCUCCGGCAGGGACACCAGGCCUGCAAUUAACAGGGGGGGCAUUAAUUAGGGAGGGCACUUGACGAGGCCAGCUCCCAGCUGGGAACAGCCUCAUCCAUCCUGGGACAGCCAGAGAGGUCUGAGUGCUGCACAGGGCCCCAAACCCCCAAAGGAGAGGUUGGGGCUCAAAUUAAGGAUUUUAUCCACCCCAAACCUGGGGUUUUGUCCCAAAUUAAGGAUUUUAUCCACUCCAAACCUGGGGUUGGGGCUCAAAUUUAGGAUUUUAUCCAUCCCAAACCUGAGGUUUUGUCCCAAAUUAAGGAUUUUAUCCACCCCAAACCUGGGGUUUUGGGCCCAAAUUAAGGAUUUUAUCCAUCCCAAACCUGGGGUUUUGGCCCAAAUUAAGGAUUUUAUCCACCCCAAACUUGUGUCAUCCCCUUGCAACCACCAGGAUGAGUGGUUGGGGCUCAAAUUUAGGAUUUUAUUCAUCCCAAACCUCUUUCAGCCCUUUGCACUCAUCAGAACAAGUGGUUUUGGACUCAAAUAAAGGAUUUUAUUCACUCCAAACCUGGGGUUUUGGCCCAAAUUAAGGAUUUUGUUUGCUCCAAACUUGUGUCAACCCCUUGCACCCACCAGAAGAAGUGGUUUGGGCCCAAAUUAAGGAUUUUAUCCACCCCAAACCUGAGGUUUUGUCCCAAAUUAAGGAUUUUAUCCUCCCCCCAUNNNNNNNNNNNNNNNNNNNNNNNNNCCCCCCAUGCCCGGGGUGGGUCGGAGCUGGAAUGGGAGGAUUUGCAGGACCAGGUGGGAAUUCUGUGCCCUCUCCCCACUGCCGGGAGCCCUCGCAGCCCUCGGGACCUUUCGGGGUGAUCCCCACCCAGGUCCCGUCCCCCCACAAAGCCCCGAAGGGCCCCGGCAGCCCCCGGGAGGAGCCGGGGCCGCUGCGGGUCCCUGCUCGCUCCGACCCGUCCCGGUGUUGCAAUUCCAGGGAAGCAUUUCCCAGGUAAGGCCCGGUCUGGGAACGCCCUGGGAACGUCAGGAGAGGGUGGGAGGCUCCUUAAAAACCCGGCUGGGCCGGCGGGAUGGGUGCGAGGCAAGGAGAGAGCGGCCGAACCGAACGCCCGACGGACGGACACAGCGGGACCGCCGGCAGGAUGCAGGGAACCAUGGCGGAGUGCACGGAGCUGGAAUGGGCCGUGCAGGUGCUGGUGAACAACUUUGACAAGUACUCGAGCCGCUGCUGCUGCUGCAAGAACCCGCGGCGCAUCAGCAAGAAGGAUUUUCGCAAGAUGCUGAGCCGAGAGCUCAACCACAUGCUGACGGUGAGCCCGGGGGCUGCGGGGAGGGGUCUCGGUGAUGGGGAGGGGUCUCGGUGGUGGGGAGGGGUCU
rnacentral:lncRNA from 1 species